GGCAGAGAAAGUACUAAACUGCAUUGGUAGAGGUUUCCUCAUCCGGGAAUUUCUUAUACUAAUGAAAUCACAGUUGAGGAAACUCGUACCAGUGCAGAUGGUUCUGCAGUCCCUAGU
rnacentral:precursor_RNA from 12 species